AUUGAACGCUGGCGGCAGGCCUAACACAUGCAAGUCGAACGAGUGGCGGACGGGUGAGUAAUGUCUGGGAAACUGCCCGAUGGAGGGGGAUAACUACUGGAAACGGUAGCUAAUACCGCAUACCAUCGGAUGUGCCCAGAUGGGAUUAGCUAGUAGGUGGGGUAACGGCUCACCUAGGCGACGAUCCCUAGCGGGUCUGAGAGGGGGACCAGCCACACGGGAACUGAGACACGGUCCAGACUCCUACGGGAGGCAGCAGUGGGGAAUAUUGCACAAUGGGCGCAAGCCUGAGGCAGCCAUGCCGCGUGUGUGAAGAAGGCCUUCGGGUUGUAAAGUACUUUCAGCAGGGAGGCGGUACCCGCAGAAGAAGCACCGGCUAACUCCGUGCCAGCAGCCGCGGUAAUAC
rnacentral:rRNA from 1 species